rnacentral:rRNA from 1 species
UAGGGAAUCUUCCGCAAUGGACGCAAGUCUGACGGAGCAACGCCGCGUGAGUGAAGAAGGUUUUCGGAUCGUAAAACUCUGUUGUUAGAGAAGAACAAGUGCUAGAGUAACUGUUAGCGCCUUGACGGUAUCUAACCAGAAAGCCACGGCUAACUACGUGCCAGCAGCCGCGGUAAUACGUAGGUGGCAAGCGUUGUCCGGAUUUAUUGGGCGUAAAGCGAGCGCAGGCGGUUCCUUGAGUCUGAUGUGAAAGCCCCCGGCUCAACCGGGGAGGGUCAUUGGAAACUGGGGAACUUGAGUGCAGAAGAGGAGAGUGGAAUUCCAUGUGUAGCGGUGAAAUGCGUAGAUAUAUGGAGGAACACCAGUGGCGAAGGCGACUCUCUGGUCUGUAACUGACGCUGAGGCUCGAAAGCGUGGGUAGCAAACAGGAUUAGAUACCCUGGUAGUCCACGCCGUAAACGAUGAGUGCUAAGUGUUGGAGGGUUUCCGCCCUUCAGUGCUGCAGUUAACGCAUUAAGCACUCCGCCUGGGGAGUACGACCGCAAGGUUG